UGGGGAAUAUUGCGCAAUGGGCGAAAGCCUGACGCAGCAACGCCGUGUGAGUGAUGAAGGCCCUCGGGUCGUAAAGCUCUGUCAGCAGGGAAGAUGGGAGAUGAGUUUAAUACGCUCAUUUUUUGACGGUACCUGCAAAGGAAGCACCGGCUAACUCUGUGCCAGCAGCCGCGGUAAUACAGAGGGUGCAAGCGUUGUUCGGAAUUAUUGGGCGUAAAGCGCGCGUAGGCGGCUACAUAAGUCUGACGUGAAAGCCCGGGGCUCAACCCCGGAAGUGCAUCGGAAACUGUGUAGCUAGAGUCCCGGAGAGGAUGGUGGAAUUCCAGGUGUAGAGGUGAAAUUCGUAGAUAUCUGGAGGAACAUCAGUGGCGAAGGCGGCCAUCUGGACGGUGACUGACGCUGAGGUGCGAAAGCGUGGGGAGCGAACAGG
rnacentral:rRNA from 1 species